rnacentral:rRNA from 1 species
UAGGGAAUCUUGCGCAAUGGGCGAAAGCCUGACGCAGCCAUGCCGCGUGAAUGAUGAAGGUCUUAGGAUUGUAAAAUUCUUUCACCGGGGAAGAUAAUGACGGUACCCGGAGAAGAAGCCCCGGCUAACUUCGUGCCAGCAGCCGCGGUAAUACGAAGGGGGCUAGCGUUGCUCGGAAUUACUGGGCGUAAAGGGUGUGUAGGCGGAUACUUAAGUUAGAGGUGAAAGCCCAGGGCUCAACCCUGGAAUAGCCUUUAAUACUGGGUAUCUUGAGUUCGGGAGAGGUAAGCGGAACUCCGAGUGUAGAGGUGAAAUUCGUAGAUAUUCGGAAGAACACCAGUGGCGAAGGCGGCUUACUGGCCCGAUACUGACGCUGAGACACGAAAGCGUGGGGAGCAAACAG